rnacentral:tRNA from 5 species
GGGCGAUUGGCUCAGGGGGAGAGCGCUUCCUUCACACGGAAGAGGUCGUUGGUUCAAAUCCAACAUCGCCCACCA